UGAUGCCCUCUUAGGACAUUGGCUGAGCCAUUAAAGGAUAAGCUAGUAUAGAAGCCCAGCUCCUGUGAAUGCUGAACUAGUCAGAUGCGUUCAGUAGUCAUGGCAAAGAGGCUGCUGCUGCUUUGGAACUGCCUAGCGCUCCUAUAUGGUUUGCACAUGAUAAGGGGAGAUGGCAGAGGUUUAUAGUGAAAGGAGGGAACACAUCUACCAGAUGCUCUUUCAAUUCAGCUUGCUUAGAACAAGAGGGACUAGGCAGUGAAGUUUCUCUUCAGACCUCUCAAGACCACAAACAAAACUUCUUAGAGCACAGCAUUGAGAUGUUUGCACUUGGCUAAUUAUCCCUUUCACUCUGCCUUUCGGGGUAUUGUGGAGCAAGUACCUGUGGGAAAGAAUUUGUCACAGCCUUCCUGAAGAACUACUUGCCAAGCCAGCACAAUGUUUCAUUUGAGCUGCUUAUCACUGGAUAUCAACCUGCAAC